rnacentral:rRNA from 1 species
AUUGUUCUUCAACGAGGAAUCCCUAGUAAGCGUGAGUCAUCAGCUCACGUUGAUUACGUCCCUGCCCUUUGUACACACCGCCCGUCGCUACUACCGAUUGAAUGGCUUAGUGAGACCUUUGGAUUGGGGUUUUAGGAUCGGCAACGAUCCUAUUUCACCGAGAAGUCGGUCAAACUUGGUCAUUUAGAGGAAGUAAAAGUCGUAACAAGGUUUCCGUAGGUGAACCUGCGGAAGGAUCAUUAAAAAAUUUUUAACCGAGAAUUCGUUUUUCGUUUUCUCGGAUAAUUUGUAUUCAAAUUCCCACUCUUAAAUAAAAUAAUAUAUUAUUAUAUAAACAUAUAUAAAAAAAAGAAAACUUUCAACAACGGAUCUCUUGGCUCUCGCAUCGAUGAAGAACGCAGCGAAAUGCGAUACGUAGUGUGAAUUGCAGAAUUCCGUGAAUCAUCGAAUUUUUGAACGCAAAUUGUACUUUUCAGUAUUCUGGAAAGUAUGCUUGGUUGAGGGUCAUUAAAAUAACAUUCGUGAAUUUUUUUUGCGGAUUUGAGUUUUCCAGUAUUUUAUUUAUUUAAUAAAAUGUUGGUAACUUUAAAAAUUAUUUUAUUUUCUUGGUUAAAAUUAAAAACGUACUAUAUGUGUGGUUCGUUGAUAAUUUGUCCAUCUAUAUAUAUUAUGUUUAUACUUGGUCCACAUUGGCCUUUGUGUGUGAAUAUAUAUUUUUUUUUAUGACCUCAGCUCAAGCAAGAAUACCCGCUGAACUUAAGCAUAUCAAUAAGCGGAGGAAAAGAAACUAACAAGGAUUCCCCUAGUAACGGCGAGUGAAGAGGGAAAAGCUCAAAUUUUAAAUCUACCUGGUUCUUCUAGGUCGAAUUGUAAUUUGAAGAAACGAUAUCUUAUUUUGAGGUCUGGUUUAAGUCUUUUGGAACAAGACAUCAUGGGAGGGUGAGAAUCCCGUGCAUGAUCAGACCGAAAUUUAUUAAUAUUCGUUCUCUAAGAGUCGAGUUGUUUGGGAAUGCAGCUCAAAAUGGGUGGUAGACUUCACCUAAGGCUAAAUAUCAGCGAGAGACCGAUAGCGAACAAGUACUGUGAAGGAAAGAUGAAAAGAACUUUGAAAAGAGAGUUAAAAAGUACGUGAAAUUGUUGAAAGGGAAACGAUUGAAGUCAGUCAUGCCAGUGAAAAAUCAGUUUAACGGAUUUUUGGUUCGGAGCAGGAGGCAGGGUCAAACCGUCUCUCUUUUGGACUUGGAAUUUGUUAGAUGUACUUUUUCUUUGGCAGGUCAGUGUCGGUUUCGAAGGUUGUAAAAUAACUGGGGGAAAGUAGCUCUGCUUCGGGAGAGUGUUAUAGACUCUGGGGGAUGCAGCCUGCGGGAUCGAGGAUUGCAGCAAAUGCUAUUUGGCUUGUCGCCUGAUCUCUGGACGUUACCUCAUUUGUGACAAUAUUUUUGACACCGGUGGGUACUAAUGGCCAAUAGGUUAGAGCGAUCAAAAAUUUUGCUAAGGAUGCUGACGUAAUGGCUUUAAACGACCCGUCUUGAAACACGGACCAAGGAGUCUAACAUAUAUGCGAGUGUUA